AUGACAGUUGGUCUGGAAGUGCAAUGCUUCAGUCACGCACCAGACAUCAUCGCCAUGGAACAGCGGAUUGACACGCAGCCGUCUUUCCACCGUAAACCAUCUCUCAUACGGGCAACCCUCAUGUGCAAACAAACGAAUGACGCCUCUCUUUCAGUUCCGCUGCCGUUGGAUAACACAUUUUUAUGUUGCAAACAUGUGCUGUACGUACGUCUUCGCCAGUGUCUUCAAGGGCUAUUUGAUAGUUCAACGGACCCAGCUGCUUGAUAAUGCGAUGAUGAAGAUUAUGAACUACAUCAUACGAGGCAGCGUCUGGGGUUAGAUUAGGCCCAGAGAGUAUUUUGUCCAUUGGACUUUGGAGUUUCCUACCCAGCUGGAGUUCGGCUGGGGUUAAUCCAGUGGUCUCUUGAACGGCUGAAUUAAGGGCGAAUCUGAAUUCUGGUAAGAACUGGUCCCACUUUUGAUGGUUGUCGUCCACAUAGGCUGCCAUCAUGCUCUUGAGAUUUCGAUUAACUCUUUCGGUCAUGUUGGUUUGGGGAUGAUAGGCUGUAGUUAAUUUGGGAAUAACACUCCAGUUCUCACAUAACUCUCUGAAAACAGAUGAAACAAACUGAGUGCCUCUGUCUGAGAGAACGAAGUCUGGUACGCCCCUAACGUGUCAGGAUGUCUUUUUCUGAAGAUGGAGGCAAUAUUCUUCGCUGUGGCACUCCGAAUGGGAAACAACUCCACCCAUCGAGAAUAAUAAUCAACAAAGACCAGCAGGUAUUCAUUUUUGAGUUGUGCUACGUGGCAACGGACCCAUGAGGUCGACUCCCAGCAUUUGGUUUGGGCGGCUUGUGGUGAUUUGCUGUAGCUUUCCCGCAGGCUUCCUGUUAUCACUUUUUCAGAGUUUGACAUUUAACACAGGUCCUCACAUGCUGUUUCACCGCUGACCACAUGCCUGGCCAAAAUGCUACUUCCUGAAGUCGCUUAUAGGUCUUGUAGAUUCCUCCAUGGCCACAGAUGGGAGUGGAGUGAUAGUACUGGAGAAGGGUGGAUCUGAGACUGCUGGGAAUGUAGAUUCUGUAAUGCAGUUGGUUAUUUGUCAGGUAUGCUUUGUGAUAUAAUUUGUCCUCAAUUAUUUCGUACUGGUCAAUCAGACUGGCACAAUUAUCUGCAACCGCUUGCAAUAAUUUUGUAACUUCGGGGUCUUUGUGCUGUUCGUCCCACAGGACAACAUCUGAUACAGGCAGUGCUGGGUCUUUUCCGCUGGUGUACAAGUUACAUCCUGGGGUAACCGAAGAUCUGGAUAGAGCAUCCGGAGCUACAUUUAGCUUCCCUUUUCGGUACUCAAUAACAAAAUCAAAUUUUUGCAAUCGCAGGACCCAACGAAUGAGGCGGCUGGUGGUUUUCGUGGAGUUCAUGACCCAUUGCAGUGCAGCAUGGUCGGUAACAACUGUAAAAAAAGCUUGUGCUCCAAGUAAUGUUGCCACUUUUCCAGGGCCCAGAUGACUGCAAGACAUUCCUUCUCCGUUGCAGUAUAAUUUAGUUCGGCCCCAGUUAAGGUUCGGCUUGCAUAGGUUAUAACCUCCUCUCUGCCUACCUCCCUCCGUUGUGCUAAUAUGGCACCCAGGCCGAUGUCGCUGGCAUCGGUGUAAACAAUGAAUGGCCGCUGAAGAUCGGGAUGGCCCAGAAUGGGAGGUGAGGUGAGACAAGACUUUAGCUGGUCAAAGGCUUGCUGACACUGAAUUGACCAUUGAAAACUAUGUCCCUUCUUUUUCAGUGUGUUGAGGGGUUCAGUAAUCUUGGAAAAAUUUGGAACGAAACGGUGAUACCACCCGGCUAACCCGAGGAACCGUUGAACUUCCUUCACGUUCGUAGGCACAGGAUAGGUAUGAAUGGCUUCAGUUUUACAUGGGUCUGCUGAAAUGCCUUUGACACUUACAACAUGUCCUAGGAAGGUGAGUUCUUGAAGACAGAAUUGACUUUUCUUUAAGUUUAUGGUGAGACCAGCAGUUCCUAGUCUAUGGAGGACAGUCUGGAGGUCGUGGAAAUGCUGAGUUAUUGAAGGCGAGUACACAAUGAUGUCAUCGAUGUACACAAAGCAUAUUUUUCUCCUUAGUUCUCCCAGAACUGUCUCCAUGAGCCUCUGAAAAGUUGCGGGAGCAUUUUUGAGACCAAACGGCAUAACAUUAAAUUGAUAGAGACCUGCAGGAGUGAUGAAGGCUGUCUUGGUUUUUGCUGUUGGGAUCCAUGGUCACCUGCCAAUAUCCACUGUUUAGAUCAAUAGUAGAGAAGAUGGCUGCCCCAGAGAGGGAUUCCAGAAUUUCUGUGAUGUUGGGAAGAGGGUAAGCGUCACUUUCUGUUACAGAAUUAACCUUUCUGUAAUCCACACAGAAUCUAAAUUUGCCGUCUUUUUUGGGUACUAAGACCACCGGUGAUGCCCAAGCAGAGUGGGAUGGUUCAACUAUUCCUUGCCUCAACAUCUCAUCAAGUUGCUCCUCCAGGGCAAAUUGCUUGAGGGGAGACAAACGGUAUGGCCGUUGUUUAAUGGGGACUUGGCUGGUGGCAUAAAUGCUGUGUUGGAGAACCUCAGUACGUCCAGUACGGAGAGUACACACCUGAGGGCUUUCGUUCAGGAUUUGGAGUAAAUGUAGCUUUUCAUCAAAGGGUAAAUGAGCAGCGUCCACAGCAUUUUUUAUCAAUGUCUUUUCAUCGAUACCAUCUGGGUGUUGAAUUUGCAAUGGUGAUGAUGGAGGGGGCACAGAAGUUAAUAAGGAAAGGUUUUGUGUGGCUUCCUUAAAUUGACAUCUCUCUUUUUGGGGACUUGCAUUUGGCACACUUGGAUUUCCUGGUUGAAAGGGGUACUCUUUUGAAGGAUCCAGCUUGAAGGAGUAUUUUUGAUCAAUGACAUUGAGUUGCAGCCCACUGAAGAAAAUAAAGUCCAACCCCAAGACUACAGCAUAAGCUAGUGCUUGGGAUGAAAGUACAGCAGUAGGUAAGGUAAAUGCUUGCAUCAUCGCCAUGUGAGAACACAUUUUUAUGUUGCAAACAUGUGCUGUACGUACGUCUUCGCCAGUGUCUUCAAGGGCUAUUUGAUAGUUCAACGGACCCAGCUGCUUGAUAAUGCGGUAAGGACCUCUCCAUUUUUGGGCUAGUUUUGCGCUAUAUCUCCGCUGUGCAUUAGACUGUGGAAAAUUACGCAACCAUACUCGAUCCUUGCUUUUGAAUGUUACAUCUCUCCUAUUUUUGUUAUAGUUCCUCAAUUGUCUCAUUUUGGCUCUCUUGCUGUUUUCCUUCGCUUGAGUUUGCAGAUGAUGAAGAUUAUGAACUACAUCAUACGAGGCAGCGUCUGGGGUUAGAUUAGGCCCAGAGAGUAUUUUGUCCAUUGGACUUUGGAGUUUCCUACCCAGCUGGAGUUCGGCUGGGGUUAAUCCAGUGGUCUCUUGAACGGCUGAAUUAAGGGCGAAUCUGAAUUCUGGUAAGAACUGGUCCCACUUUUGAUGGUUGUCGUCCACAUAGGCUGCCAUCAUGCUCUUGAGAUUUCGAUUAACUCUUUCGGUCAUGUUGGUUUGGGGAUGAUAGGCUGUAGUUAAUUUGGGAAUAACACUCCAGUUCUCACAUAACUCUCUGAAAACAGAUGAAACAAACUGAGUGCCUCUGUCUGAGAGAACGAAGUCUGGUACGCCCCAACGUGUCAGGAUGUCUUUUCUGAAGAUGGAGGCAAUAUUCUUCGCUGUGGCACUCCGAAUGGGAAACAACUCCACCCAUCGAGAAUAAUAAUCAACAAAGACCAGCAGGUAUUCAUUUUGAGUUGUGCUACGUGGCAACGGACCCAUGAGGUCGACUCCCAGCAUUUGGUUUGGGCGGCUUGUGGUGAUUUGCUGUAGCUUUCCCGCAGGCUUCCUGUUAUCACUUUUCAGAGUUUGACAUUUAACACAGGUCCUCACAUGCUGUUUCACCGCUGACCACAUGCCUGGCCAAAAUGCUACUUCCUGAAGUCGCUUAUAGGUCUUGUAGAUUCCUCCAUGGCCACAGAUGGGAGUGGAGUGAUAGUACUGGAGAAGGGUGGAUCUGAGACUGCUGGGAAUGUAGAUUCUGUAAUGCAGUUGGUUAUUUGUCAGGUAUGCUUUGUGAUAUAAUUUGUCCUCAAUUAUUUCGUACUGGUCAAUCAGACUGGCACAAUUAUCUGCAACCGCUUGCAAUAAUUUUGUAACUUCGGGGUCUUUGUGCUGUUCGUCCCACAGGACAACAUCUGAUACAGGCAGUGCUGGGUCUUUUCCGCUGGUGUACAAGUUACAUCCUGGGGUAACCGAAGAUCUGGAUAGAGCAUCCGGAGCUACAU
ensembl:lncRNA